GUGGGGAAUAUUGCACAAUGGGGGAAACCCUGAUGCAGCGACGCCGCGUGAGGGAAGAAGGCUUUCGGGUUGUAAACCUCUGUCCUUGGUGACGAAAAAAAUGACGGUAGCCAAGGAGGAAGCCCCGGCUAACUUCGUGCCAGCAGCCGCGGUAAUACGAAGGGUGCAAGCGUUAAUCGGAAUUACUGGGCGUAAAGCGCGCGUAGGUGGUUAAGUAAGCGAUCUGUGAAAGCCCCGGGCUCAACCUGGGAAUUGCAGGUCGAACUGCUUGGCUAGAGUAUGGUAGAGGGGUGUGGAAUUCCAGGUGUAGCGGUGAAAUGCGUAGAUAUCUGGAGGAACAUCAGUGGCGAAGGCGACACCCUGGACCGAUACUGACACUGAGGUGCGAAAGCGUGGGUAGCGAACAGGAUUAGAAACCCCUGUAGUCC
rnacentral:rRNA from 1 species